UCGUAAACCCCUUUUCUGGGGGAAAGAAUAAGGGUGGGAGGAAAUGCCCAUCCCGAUGACGGUACUCCAGGAAUAAGCAUCGGGCAAACUUCGUGCCAGCAGCCGCGGUAAGACGAGGGAUGCAAGCGUUAUCCGGGAAUUACUGGGCGUAAAGGGCGUCUAGGCGGUUGGAUAAGUCAUUUGUGAAAUCCCAGGGCUCAACCCUGGAAGGUCUCGUGAUACUGUCCGGCUUGGGUGUAGGAGAGGAGAGCGGAACUCACAGAGUAGCGGUGGAAUGCGUAGAUACUGUGAGGUACCCCGAUGGCGAAGGCAGCUCUCUGGCCUACUACCGACGCUGAAGCGCGAAAGCGUGGGGAGCAAAGGGGAUUAGAUACCCCCGUAGUCCACGCCCUAAACGAUGUUCACUUGGUGUCGGGAGCCUAUAUAUCUCGGUGCCGGAGCUAACGCGUUAAGUGAACCGCCUGAGGAGUACGGUCGCAAGGCUAAAACUCAAGAGAAUUGACGGGUCCCCGCACAAGCGGUGGAGCACGUGGUUUAAUUCGAUGAUAAGCGAAGAACCUCACCUGGGCUUGACAUACUAGUGGUAGGAACCUGAAAGGGUAACGACCCUGCCUUCGGGUAGGGAGCUAAUACAGGCGAUGCAUGGCUGUCGUCAGCUCGUGUCGUGGGAUGUAGGGUUAAGUCCCGAAACGAGCGCAACCCUUGUCACUAGUUGCCAGCGGAUAAUGCCGGGGACUCUAGUGAGACUGCUGGUGAAUAGCCGGAGGAAGGCGGGGAUGACGUCAAGUCAUCAUGUCCCUUAUGCCCAGGGCGACACACAUGCUACAAUGGGAGGUACAGAGGGUUGCAAUACGGCAACGUGGAGCUAAUCUCAAAAAGCCUCCCCCAGUUCGGAUUGUGGUCUGCAACUCGACCACAUGAAGCCGGAAUCGCUAGUAAUCGCGGGUCAGCCAUACCGCGGUGAAUAUGUACUCGGGGAUUGUACACACCGCCCGUCACACCAACCGAGUGGGGGGUACCUGAAGUCGCCUUUUUGAGGGCGCCUAAGGUAACCUUCGCAAGAGGGGUGAAGUCGUAACAAGGUAACC
rnacentral:rRNA from 1 species